CCUACGGGUGGCAGCAGUGAGGAAUAUUGGUCAAUGGCCGUAAGGCUGAACCAGCCAAGUCGCGUGAAGGAAGAAGGAUCUAUGGUUUGUAAACUUCUUUUAUAGGGGAAUAAAGUUAUCCACGUGUGGAGAUGUGCAUGUAACCUACGAAUAAGCAUCGGCUAACUCCGUGCCAGCAGCCGCGGUAAUGCGGAGGAUCCGAGCGUUAUCCGGAUUUAUUGGGUUUAAAGGGAGCGUAGAUGGGUUGUUAAGUCAGUUGUGAAAGUUUGCGGCUCAACCGUAAAAUUGCAAUUGAUACUGGCAGUCUUGAGUACAGUUGAGGUAGGCGGAAUUCGUGGUGUAGCGGUGAAAUGCUUAGAUAUCACGAAGAACCCCGAUUGCGAAGGCAGCUUACUAAACUGUGACUGACAUUGAUGCUCGAAAGUGUGGGUAUCAAACAGGAUUAGAUACCCUUGUAGUC
rnacentral:rRNA from 1 species